rnacentral:rRNA from 1 species
UACGUAGGGUGCAAGCGUUAAUCGGAAUUACUGGGCGUAAAGCGUGCGCAGGCGGUUUUGUAAGUCUGUCGUGAAAUCCCCGGGCUCAACCUGGGAAUUGCGUUGGAGACUGCAAGGCUGGAGUCUGGCAGAGGGGGGUAGAAUUCCACGUGUAGCAGUGAAAUGCGUAGAGAUGUGGAGGAACACCGAUGGCGAAGGCAGCCCCCUGGGCCAACACUGACGCUCAGGCACGAAAGCGUGGGGAGCAAACAGG